AGUGAACGCUGGCGGUAGGCCUAACACAUGCAAGUCGAACGGCAGCACAGUAAGAGCUUGCUCUUACGGGUGGCGAGUGGCGGACGGGUGAGGAAUACAUCGGAAUCUACUUUUUCGUGGGGGAUAACGUAGGGAAACUUACGCUAAUACCGCAUACGACCUACGGGUGAAAGCAGGGGAUCUUCGGACCUUGCGCGAUUGAAUGAGCCGAUGUCGGAUUAGCUAGUUGGCGGGGUAAAGGCCCACCAAGGCGACGAUCCGUAGCUGGUCUGAGAGGAUGAUCAGCCACACUGGAACUGAGACACGGUCCAGACUCCUACGGGAGGCAGCAGUGGGGAAUAUUGGACAAUGGGCGCAAGCCUGAUCCAGCCAUACCGCGUGGGUGAAGAAGGCCUUCGGGUUGUAAAGCCCUUUUGUUGGGAAAGAAAAGCAGUAGGUUAAUACCCCGCUGUUCUGACGGUACCCAAAGAAUAAGCACCGGCUAACUUCGU
rnacentral:rRNA from 1 species